rnacentral:lncRNA from 1 species
UCUCUUUGUUUAUGUUUUCAGCAGUCAACCAAGAGUCUACCUCUGUUAGGGACUGUGUGGGGUGUAGCAGAAAGGAUGCAGACUACUGGCUCUCAGAGGAUUGCUACCUGGUGAGAGUGGACACACAAGAGAGCCUGAGAGCUUUAACUGAGAGUUGAAGUUAUUCUGGAGGAGGAAGAAGGUGGUGUGACCAACCCAUGAGGGUUUGCAUCGGGGGACAAAUGUUGAGUGCAGCAUUUGAAUGGCACGCCGUCUUCUCCAGACAGGCAAGAAGAAAGAGGGCUUUGUAGCUAGAGGAAGAGCAUGCGCAAUGGCAAGGGAGACGCAAAGGCUCAGUGUUUGCCCAGAGUGAGCUGCUUUUGGAGUGGUCAUGAAUUAAAAUGGAUAUCCAACUGUUCCAUGAGGCAACGAAUGGGGAUUUUACAUAUUAAAUCAGCAUUGUCUGCUGGAGCUCUCUGCUACCUGGGAAGGCUCUGCAUUUGGGCUGUCAAAGCCACAAGCUCAGACAAUGAAGAUGGCAAACUGAAGUCUUCCUCUAUAGGCACAACUUUGCAUCAGACAUUUGAUGGGAGAGGUCCAUCUUUGAAGGGAAGUUUUAUUUAAGUCUGUCCCUGGAUCCACAUCAUCCGUACGUCUGUCUACAGGGCAAAAAACUUCAUCUUUCAUGAGUGCAAUUUCAAACUUGGUGCCAACGAGAGACAUCUUCCCUGGACUCAAAUGCGCGAAGCCUGAACAGGACAUCUUGAGUGUUAGCUUCUCUGGGAUGGCUGCGGUGUGCAGCACAUUUUUGUUAAGGUGUUAUUCAAAGUUUCUGAUUAACAUAAGUUUUUCUUAAAAUUAUACAAAAACAUAAUACCAUGAUUAUGGAAAUAAAAAGCCACCCACAAGCUUACUAUCUUUACAAACCAUCUAUUUUCAUUCUUUCCUGUCUUUUCCAAAAAAGUAUUACCUCCUCCCGCCCCUCAGUGUUGGACACACAGCACAAAUAUGCCUUUGUGUUCUGAUCUUUUUUGUGUGCCUCACACAAUGAGUAAUAUCAGUGUGCUCUUAAGAAUAACAGAUUCAAAUAACUUCCAAGCAUUACAUUAUUUGAUACAUUCUCCUUUAUAUCAGCAUCCAGAUAUCACGGUGGGACUGGUAGGUUAGCUGGCAUUCACUUUUGUUUCCAGUAAUAGCUUGUUUUUCCCAUUACCCUCCUAAUGUCAGCUAUUUUCUUAGAAUGGAUCUUUAACAUUGGAAUUACAGUGUCCGAAAUGCUGAUGAUGGAGAAGAGCUGAUCCUUACCUCCAUGAAUUAAGUUAUUUUUUAACCA